rnacentral:lncRNA from 1 species
GUCAGCAGGCCACAGUGCAUGGAAUGCCCUUAGGAAAAACCAACAGGAUCAGUCCUCAAAGCAAAGCACAACUUGCAUUUGCCUUUGCCCCCACAAUAGACAGUAAAUAAAGGCAGUGAUCAAACAGGGCAGGACUUAGGGGGGCUGGGACAUCGCCCUGGGGGGAGCUGCUCCCACAGCAGGCUGCACAGCUCAGCAUGCAGGCGGGUCCUGAAUACUUCCAUUGAAGGAGACCCCACACCUCCCUGGGCAGCCCAUCCCAGUGCUCCAUCACCCUCGCCAUGAAGAAGUUCCUUCACAUUUUGGUGCGGAACUUCCUGUGCUCCAGUGUGUGGCCGUUUCCCCUUGUCCUGUCCCCACAGACCACUGAGAUGAGGUUGGCCAUGUCCCUUUGUCUCCCACACUGAAUAUAUUUAUAAGCACUAAUCACAUUCUUUCUCAGUCUUCCCCAGGCCGAGCAGCUCCACGUCACGCAGCCUUCCCCCACAGGGAGAUGCUCCAGGCCUUCUCAGCUCUGUUAUCAGGAUGCCAUGGGAGAUAACACCAAAAGCCUUGCUGACAUCCACUUGCACCAAAAGCCUUGCAGAUGACAUCCACUCCUCCCCCCGCACCUACCCGGCUGGUGAUGCCAUCAUAGAAGGCUACGAGGCACAGAGGGUACCUUCUUACUUCCUCAUCAACACAGCAAUUGGGGUUUCGUGAGUGGAACAAAUGUGCAACAGCCCCGAGCUGCGAGGAGGAGUCAGGAGAGAGAUUCCGUGCAGUGCUGCAGCACGGUGCAUCCGCAGGGCACUGCCCACAGCACCGUGCACUGCCUGCAGCACCGUGCACUGCCUGCAGCACUGAGCACUACCCGCAGCACCGUGCAUUCCCUGCAGCACCGUUCUCUACCU